GACGAACGCUGGCGGCGUGCCUAACACAUGCAAGUCGAACGAGGUCCAUGAGAGCUUGCUCUCGGAAGACCUAGUGGCGAACGGGUGAGUAACACGUGAGGAAUCUGCCCCGGACUCUGGGAUAACUCGAGGAAACUCGAGCUAAUACCGGAUGCCCUCCUCGGGUCGCAUGGCCUGAUGAGGAAAGUUUUUCGGUCUGGGAGGACCUCGCGGCCUAUCAGCUAGUUGGUGAGGUAACGGCUCACCAAGGCUACGACGGGUAGCUGGUUUGAGAGAAUGAUCAGCCACACUGGGACUGAGACACGGCCCAGACUCCUACGGGAGGCAGCAGUGGGGAAUCUUGCGCAAUGGGCGAAAGCCUGACGCAGCAACGCCGCGUGCGGGAUGACGGCCUUCGGGUUGUAAACCGCUUUCAGCAGGGACGAAAAUGACGGUACCUGCAGAAGAAGCUCCGGCUAACUACGUGCCAGCAGCCGCCGUAAUAC
rnacentral:rRNA from 1 species